GCGACGAUGAGACCUACAACCUCGUCCUGAACUUCAAGGACGCCAUCUUCGGCGUGGAGAAGGAGAUCGAGAUCACCCGCCUCGAGACCUGCGGGACCUGCGACGGCUCUGGCGUCAAGCCCGGCACCAAGCCCACCAAGUGCACCACCUGCGGCGGCCAGGGCCAGGUCGUCUCCUCCGUGAGGACCCCUCUGGGCGUCUUCCAGCAGGUCAUGACCUGCUCCACCUGCGGCGGCACCGGGGAGAUCUCCACGCCGUGCGGCACCUGCAGCGGCGACGGCCGCGUGAGGCGGACGAAGAGGAUCAGCCUGAAGGUCCCCGCCGGCGUGGACUCCGGCAGCCGG
rnacentral:lncRNA from 1 species